UGCUUAAAGGGGCCGUAGCUUGAUAUGCAAGUCCCUUGAGAAAUCCGCCAGCUUAACUGGCGGGCGUUCAGGGGAAACUGCAUUUCUAGGGACCGGGAGAGGUGAGAGGUACUGCCGGGGUAGGAGUGAAAUCCUGUAAUCCCGGUGGGACCACCUAUGGCGAAGGCAUCUCACCAGAACGGGUCCGACAGUGAGGGACGAAAGCUGGGGGAGCAAACCGGAUUAGAUACCCGGGUAGUCCCAGCUGUAAACGAUGCGCGUUAGGUGUGUCAGUGACCACGUGUCACUGAGGUGCCGAAGGGAAACCGUGAAACGCGCCGCCUGGGGAGUACGGUCGCAAGGCUGAGACUUAAAGGAAUUGGCGGGGGAGCACCACAACGGGUGGAGCCUGCGGUUUAAUCGGACUCAACGCCGGAAAUCUCACCGGAUAAGACAGCUGAAUGAUAGUCGGGAUGAAGACUCUACUUGACUAGCUGAGAGGAGGUGCAUGGCCGUCGUCAGUUCGUACUGUGAAGCAUCCUGUUUAGUCAGGCAACGAGCGAGACCCACGCCAACAGUUGCCAGCUUGACCUUCGGGUUGAUGGGGACACUGUUGGGACCGCCUCUGCUAAAGGGGAGGAAGGAAUGGGCAACGGUAGGUCCGCAUGCCCCUAAA
rnacentral:rRNA from 1 species